rnacentral:rRNA from 1 species
UACGUAGGGGGCAAGCGUUGUCCGGAAUCAUUGGGCGUAAAGCGCGUGUAGGCGGUCCGGUAAGUCCGCUGUGAAAGUCGGGGGCUUAACCCUCGGAUGCCGGUGGAUACUGUCGGGCUUGAGUACGGAAGAGGCGAGUGGAAUUCCUGGUGUAGCGGUGAAAUGGCGCAGAUAUCAGGAGGAACACCAAUUGCGAAGGCAGCUCGCUGGGACGUUACUGACGCUGAGACGCGAAAGCGUGGGGAGCAAACAGG